rnacentral:rRNA from 1 species
GUGGGGAAUAUUGGACAAUGGGGGGAACCCUGAUCCAGCCAUGCCGCGUGUGUGAAGAAGGCCUUUUGGUUGUAAAGCACUUUAAGCGAGGAGGAGGCUACCGAGAUUAAUACUCUUGGAUAGUGGACGUUACUCGCAGAAUAAGCACCGGCUAACUCUGUGCCAGCAGCCGCGGUAAUACAGAGGGUGCAAGCGUUAAUCGGAUUUACUGGGCGUAAAGCGCGCGUAGGUGGCCAAUUAAGUCAAAUGUGAAAUCCCCGAGCUUAACUUGGGAAUUGCAUUCGAUACUGGUUGGCUAGAGUAUGGUAGAGGAUGGUAGAAUUCCAGGUGUAGCGGUGAAAUGCGUAGAGAUCUGGAGGAAUACCGAUGGCGAAGGCAGCCAUCUGGCCUAAUACUGACACUGAGGUGCGAAAGCAUGGGGAGCAAACAGGAUUAGAAACCCCUGUAGUCC